rnacentral:rRNA from 1 species
CAAUAGCGUAUAUUUAAGUUGUUGCAGUUAAAAAGCUCGUAGUUGGAUUUCGGGUGGGACGCAGCGGUCUCGCAUUGCGUUUGUACUGCUGCAGCCCUCCUUCUUGCUGGGGGCGGCCUCUCGGACUUCACUGUCUGGGGGUCAGAAUCGGCGAUGUUACUUUGAGUAAAUUAGAGUGUUCAAAGCAAGCUUACGCUCUGAAUAUAAUAGCAUGGGAUAACACGACAGGACUCUGGCCUAUCGUGUUGGUCUAUAGGACCAGAGUAAUGAUUAAGAGGGACAGUCGGGGGCAUUCGUAUUCCGUUGUCAGAGGUGAAAUUCUUGGAUUUACGGAAGACGAACAUCUGCGAAAGCAUUUGCCAAGGAUGUUUUCAUUG